rnacentral:rRNA from 1 species
CUACGGGGCGCACCAGUGGGGAAUAUUGCACAAUGGGCGCAAGCCUGAUGCAGCCAUGCCGCGUGUAUGAAGAAGGCCUUCGGGUUGUAAAGUACUUUCAGCGGGGAGGAAGGGAGUAAAGUUAAUACCUUUGCUCAUUGACGUUACCCGCAGAAGAAGCACCGGCUAAUCCGUGCCAGCAGCCGCGGUAAUACGGGGGUGCAAGCGUUGAUCGGAAUUACUGGGCGUAAAGCGCACGCAGGCGGUUUGUUAAGUCAGAUGUGAAAUCCCCGGGCUCAACCUGGGAACUGCAGCUGAUACUGGCCAGCUUGAGUCUCGUAGAGGGGGGUAGAAUUCCAGGUGUAGCGGUGAAAUGCGUAGAGAUCUGGAGGAAUACCGGUGGCGAAGGCGGCCCCCUGGACGAAGACUGACGCUCAGGUGCGAAAGCGUGGGGAGCAAACAGGAUUAGAUACCCGAGUAGUC